UACGUAGGUGACAAGCGUUGUCCGGAUUUACUGGGCGUAAAGAGCGCGCAGGCGGUCGUUCAAGUCGAGUGUGAAAGCCCCCGGCUCAACUGGGGAGGGUCAUUCGAUACUGAUCGACUCGAAGGCAGGAGAGGGAAGUGGAAUUCCCGGUGUAGUGGUGAAAUGCGUAGAUAUCGGGAGGAACACCGGUGGCGAAGGCGGGUCUCUGGGCAUCUCCUGACGCUGAGGCGCGAAAGCGUGGGGAGCAAACGGG
rnacentral:rRNA from 1 species